CAGGUUGGCGGCCCCCGGCGCGGCCGGCCCGGAUGCGCCGAGCGGCCCAGGCGCAGGGGAGGGCGCGGCGGGUUCGCUGGGCCUGCGCCCCGGACGGUGGGAGUCGGGGAAGCGGGAGGAGGAGACUGUCUGAAGGUGCCCUCCAUACGCGGCCCUGAUGACUGAACUACAGCAAGAUGUGGACGACACCAAGCCUGCCAAAGUGCUCGGGAAGAGAGAGAGCAAAAUUGGCUCAGCCCACUCAGAGGCUGAGAAUGGCGUGGAGGAGAAAAAGAAGGUCUGCAGGUCGCCAGCAGCCCUGUCCCCUGCUCUGUCCAGCGAGGCCGAGUCCACAGACCAGAAGAGAAUCAUUUCCCUGCGGUACGGUUUCUUCAGUUUGGGAUCCCGCCUGCUGGAAUCACCCCGUCUCCCAUGCCAUGUCCUUAGAGUCCUGAGGGAUUAUCAAUGUCUAGAAGAGAAAAAUCAAUGUCAGGCUUUCUUGUCAAAAUCCAAUUUUGAUGGUGCCUCUUUAGCAAGUGAGAAGAACGACUAUAAAACAGAAAGCAAGAAUGACUCUAAGACUGAAAGGAAAAAGUCCUCAUCUUCCAGCCAGGACAAGGCAAACAUGCACUUCCACAAGCUGUUUCUGGAUGUCCCCACUGAGGAACCCCUGAGGCAAAGUUUUACCUGUGCUCUACAGAAGGAAAUAUUAUACCAAGGGAAGCUCUUUGUAUCAGAAAACUGGAUUUGUUUUCAUUCCAAGGUCUUUGGAAAAGACACUAAGAUCUCUAUUCCGGCUUUCUCGGUAACCCUGAUAAAGAAAACCAAAACUGCCCUUCUGGUGCCAAAUGCCCUGAUUAUAGCGACAGUCACAGACAGGUACAUAUUUGUUUCCUUACUCUCCAGAGAUUCAACUUACAAACUACUAAAAUCUGUGUGUGGACACUUAGAAAAUACAAGUAUUGGCAACAGUCCCAAUCCAUCUUCUCUUGAAAACAGUUUCCAGGCAGACCGCCCUUCAUCUCUGCCUCUGGAUUUCAACGAUGAAUUCUCAGAUCUGGAUGGAGUGGUACGGCAAAGAAGGCAAGACAUGGAAGGAUACAGCAGUUCUGGAUCCCAGACUCCUGAAUCUGAGAACUCUCGAGAUUUCCAUGUGACAGAAUCCCAGACAGUUCUGAAUGUCUCCAAGGGAGAAGCAAAACCAACUCGGGCAGAUGCCCUUGUGAACAGAGUGCCUGAAGGAAAAGCCAAGAGUCUCCCUGGGCAUGGUCAGUCAGAAACCAUUGGAAUCAUACCCAGAGUAAAGUCUCAGAAAUGUCCAACUCUCCACCAUAUUCUUAUAUUCUAUGCAAUUGUUGUCUGUGCACUAAUCAUCUCGACCUUCUACAUGAGAUACAGAAUUAAUUCUCUGGAGGAGCAGCUGGGGUCACUAACCUCCAUUGUGGACACCCAUCAGACUGAACAGACAGCACCAUCCAGCCCGGGGUCACACGUACAGUUAAAUGUGGAGGUCCUGUGCCGAGAGCUUACAGCCAACAUAAUGAGACUAGAAAAGAAGCCAAGUUUCAAGUGAACUUGCUCCAGGAGACACACCCAGAAAGCUGGCAGAACUGGAAUUUGAACCAGGGCUGACUCCCAAGUUGUGCUUCGAAGCCCUCUGCUUUUACUGCUGCUCAGAAUCCAACCUUAGGCCUGGGGGAUGAGGCCACUGAAUAGGGAGGUGAACAGGAGAAGAUACAAAACAACUUACAAAAGCUACUUGAGAAUGGUGACUGACCAGCCAGAAGCUUGGACCAAUGCAAAACCUCGCACUUCCCUUGAAGUAGGUGCUCCCCAGGCAUUCUGGUGGAGCGCUCCCUGCUGGCCAGAGGAGCGAGCAGAUGGGCAGCCCCAGCCAUGCUUGCCCUUGGAGGUCUCCAGCUCAGGAAAGGGGGGAAGGGGAAUAAUUUUGGUUCCUGUGCAAUAAAAUUUGACCUUGACUCUCUGAGGAAGUUUUCAGGGCUGCUGCCUAAAGAAAACAGACCCAUCUCUGGAGGUCUCAGGAAGGGCCUGGCAGACUUGGACGAUUGUGGUUCAGUGGGUUAUCGUGACUGUGUCAGCAACACUGACAUACUCCUCCACUCCAUGCCUUUUCAGUCCUACCCACCUGCCUCCUCUCUCCUGUACACCCCUUUUAACCAACCUUCAAACUAAGGGACAUAUCGUGUGCCAACAAACUCGAUAGGAUCCUUUAAAGAAUUUGCCAUGACUCUCC